UACGUAGGGUGCAAGCGUUAAUCGGAAUUACUGGGCGUAAAGCGUGCGCAGGCGGUUUUGUAAGUCUGUCGUGAAAUCCCCGGGCUCAACCUGGGAAUUGCGAUGGAGACUGCAAGGCUAGAAUCUGGCAGAGGGGGGUAGAAUUCCACGUGUAGCAGUGAAAUGCGUAGAGAUGUGGAGGAACGCCGAUGGCGAAGGCAGCCCCCUGGGUCAAGAUUGACGCUCAUGCACGAAAGCGUGGGGAGCAAACGAGGAUUAGAGUACCCCGU
rnacentral:rRNA from 1 species